CACUGCAUUGUGAUAUAAGACACCGAUACUUCGUAUAUACGAUAAUUUCCUUCCUUGUACGAUAUAUCAAAGUGGCAGUAGUGGCAGCACUGAUGUAUCACACAAUUCAGAAGCCGUAUCCAUUCGCGGAGCGCCUCUCCAUGUGAACAGGUCGGAGGGCAGGGACCCGGAGCAGGAGUACAUGGAGUGGUCAUCCAGUGUCGGAGUGGCCUGGCUCAACCCUUCCAGGAACUCCUGCAAGCAGAGCAAUGGUUCACCAUCAAGGCUUAUAGAUGGAGGUUAGAGAGUGUUGGCCGAAUAUGUUGACUCAUUCAACAUUCCUUUGAGAAACUGCAACAGCUAACCAGCAUUUCUUACAGCCCUGAGUCCAGAGGCAGGUAAAUGCAACAACUGGAAAAGUAAAUGCGGACGCUAGCAGUUUGUUCGGGAUUAAACUGGGUAAGGCGCACUCACAAGUAAGCUGUUGGCGAGAGGUACUUUCAUCCAAAGAAAAAUCCACUAGUCCACACAUCUCUUCCACAUUACUUCAAGGGAGUAACUACUAAGACUUCUAUCUGCAGUUUGAUCCAAUGGGCUGGUCAACAUCGAUGUCACAUUGCCUGUCUCUGUUUUCUAGGUUUUUAUCCUUCCUACGCAUAAUAGGACUGAUGCCACACUGAUGAUAAGACAACGUUGCCUUGAAAAAUGAGACAUAAAAGGUGCUCUCUCAGAUGUAAUGUCCCCCUUUGUUUGAUGCAUUAUCAUUUUUACCAGUCCUCCAUGGAGCAUACUUUUGUUUCAGGGUGGAUGAAUUCACUUAUAAACCUGUCUUGAAAGUGAAAAAACUGAUAGGAAUAAUAACCUUUUUAACCACAAUGACACUCCCAGGAGGGUUUCCUUAUGGCUGUCAUGACAUUGGGGUAGCAAGAGCUGGUUAAUGGGUCUAGUUUACUCUGGAAAAUGACUGUUGGAGAGGAUGGGUUCCCUUAAUGUUAAAAGUUUCUCCAAGCCUAAACAUGAGGGAGUAUUAUCCCCCACCUCUCCCCCUGGUAUUUUCUACCCGCUUCAACUGGAAGAGGGUGGAACAGAACUUGACUCUCCUUUUUCCAAGAUGCCAACUAAGAUUAUCCCUCCUUAUGGAUAUACAGAAGAUGGCCGCUACCCUCAAACUUACCUAUUUUCAUUAACAAGUCACUGAAGCAGCACAAAGGUCCCUUUAGAAUUACUUGCAAUGAGAGAUUUUCUCAUUAUCAUUAACAACCAAUUAACAACCACAAUGACUACUGGUUUGGUAAACAGUUGCUAUCUAAAUACUACACUUUUUCUCCACUGUUAUUCUAGCUAUAAUGGGGUCAUCUAUAUCUUGUAUCCACAUGAGAGCACAGACUCUGUUACAGAGUAGCUACCACUUGUCACAGCCUGCUGUUUUUCCUUACAUGGUUUAAAGUGAUGGAGAUUUCUGCUACCUUGUUAGCUACAUCAUAAAUUUGCUUCCAAAACCCAGAAGGAGGAUCUUAAUGUUCUCAACUGCCAGAAUCAAGAUAAGCUCACUCGCUCAGGCCAGCAAUUUCAUUCACAACCAUGUUCCUUUAUAAGAGUCUUUGCACUAAUAACAGUGGUGAUAUAGUCCGCAUAUCUCAAGGGUAAGCUCUGUUCAGGUACCAUGAUCAAGUUCUUAUGAAGUAUUUUUCGGAGAAAGAGGUAGCCAUUCAAUGAGGUCAAGAGCAUGAUUCCUGCUUGAAUUCAAUUCUUUUCAAACUUCCACUACUGUAUUGCCACAUUUGUUUAGUGUGAGUAUUAUCAGUAUUAAAAACAUAGUGUACUGUCAUCUUCAAAAUAUGUUACAGAUGUAUUACUAAUACAAACAUUUGUAUACAAAUGAUUUUAUUGUACUUUUUCUUUGUGUGCUACUACUUUCUAAGUUUCUAGAUAUCAAAAAUUGUACUUUUAGAAUCAAACCGCCAGUUUUAUACUCAAAAGUUAUUGAAAAAUAUGGUUAGAAAUUGUUAAAAAUCUACAAAUCACACGUCUUAUAUUUUACCUCCCCUUUCCUCCCUGGUCCUAACUAUUUUUACAUAUCUGUCAGAAGUAAAUAAUCAUAGCAAGCAAUCAUAAAUAGUGGUCCACAAAGAGAAUCUAGCUAUUACUUGAGAAAAGUCUCAGAUACAAAUAACCAAAUAAACAUGUUGUGUGUUGCAUAUUAUUAUUAUUUUCUGCAAUGUUUUUAUAGUAUUUAUCUUGAAAAAUGGACCUAGUCAUCAUCAAUCAGGAUAUAGCCAUUAUUUGGGAAGAGUCUUGAGUACAAAGAACAAGAGGUUAAUGUUGAGAGUUACAUUUGUUUUCUGUGUGUUUAGUCAUCAUCAAUCAGGAUCUAGCCAUUAUUUGGGAAGAGUCUUGAGUACAAAGAAUAAGAGGUUAAUGUUGAGAGUUACAUUUGUUUUCUGUGUGUUUAGUCAUCAUCAAUCAGGAUCUAGCCAUUAUUUGGGAAGAGUCUUGAGUACAAAGAACAAGAGGUUAAUGUUGAGAGUUACAUUUGUUUUCUGUGUGUUUGUAUAACUUUUAUCUUAUUAUUUCAUUUGGCAAAAGCUGAUUAGACAGAUAGCUUUAUCACAAUUACAUAAAUAGUAAGUUAUAGUAAAAUUUGACAUUUAAGUUAAACUUUUGAAUCCUACACCCAAUUUUUUUAUCUUUCGCUGCUAUUGUAUUAGAUUUGUAAAUCUAAUAAACCACAAUUUUACGGGAAAAAUAAUCUUUUGGAAAUGAUAAUUUUUUUGAACAUGAGCACCAUUUUAUCCUUCUUUUAUUGCUCAUUACAUAUCUAAGAAAACAUCAUAAACAAAAUCCAUAAACAAAAUCGUUAGCAAAACUAUAGAUGAAAAUUUAUAUAAUAUUAAACUAUAAUCAUGUGUUAAAAUACAAUUGAAAGCAGCGAAUCAACUGAAACAAUGAGUCAAUAUUCCAAAAAUAUGUGAUAUAAGAAAAUUUUAAAUGUUAUAACAUAAAUCUUAACAGUUCAAAAACCAUCAACUUUAGUCAUUUACAUGAUACAAUUUAUUAUCAAACAAAAUAAACCCAAUGUUUAAUUAUCUUCUUCUUUAAUUGCUACUGUAAUGACCCAUAAUUUUUGUUAAUACAAGUUGCAUAGACCUCAGUUUGGAAGUAAAUGCAAAGUAGAACAACUUCUAACUACUCUAAGUAGAGCCUCUGCCACUUCAAGAGAUAAGGUAUAUCAUCCUUAUAACUUAGGCAAUAUUGUAUAAAAUGUUGACUGCGAUAUACAACAUUCUGUGUCAUGCUUAGGUCACUCAGUACACAGCCACGGUGAAGGUGUUAUCUGAACAUUUGCAUAAUAAGUUUAAAAUUUGUAUAGGUUUUUUUUGCAAACAUACAAACAUGGACAUCCCCUACAUUUUUGGAGUUUAAGGUGUUAAAGUAAAAUAAUUUAUACAUAUUAGUGUAUUACUUUGAAAUUAACCUGCAGAUCAGGAUUCAUCUAAUGUUUAGCUAACAUUUACAUGUAAGUGGAGUGUACAUGUAAACAUUCACUUGCACCGCUCCAGCCACUUUUACUGCUAAGCUGUCAGCUUUGUCUAAUGCAUAAUAAUUUUUCCUUUUCAUGCUUACAUAAUGCCAGAAAGAACCUUCUUCAGGAUUUGGUGACCUCACAAGUAUAGCCACCUUGCAUCUACUGAGUGGAGCCUAGAAAUGUAAUAUGAUCAGGAGUCACGGCUGGAGAGUUCGAUUGAAGGUUGACAAGUCCAAUCAGAAGGAUCAGCCCUUUCAUUGCCGAGCUCUGCUCUGUCUGAUGGGUUAGUCCUUCAGCAAGUCUGGCUACGGUUAUGAAAUUUUGAAAUUAGAUAAAUUAAAAUUAUAUCUAACUGUUGAAAAAUG